rnacentral:rRNA from 1 species
GACGAACUGUCCAAACGUUAUUCGGAAUCACUGGGCUUAAAGGGUGCGUAGGCGGCGCCGCAAGUGGGAUCUGAAAUCCCCCGGCUCAACCGGGGAACUGGGUUCCAAACUGCGGAGCUUGAGUGAGGCAGGGGUAAGUGGAACUUGCGGUGGAGCGGUGAAAUGCUUUGAUAUCGCAAGGAACACCGGUGGCGAAGGCGACUUACUGGGCCUUAACUGACGCUGAAGCACGAAAGCCAGGGUAGCGAAC